GACGAACGCUGGCGGCGUGCUUAACACAUGCAAGUCGAACGGAAAGGCCCUGCUUUUGUGGGGUGCUCGAGUGGCGAACGGGUGAUUAACACGUGAGUAACCUGCCCUUGACUUUGGGAUAACUUCAGGAACCUGGGGCUAAUACCGGAUAGGAGCUCCUGCUGCAUGGUGGGGGUUGGAAAUUUUCGGCGGUUGGGGAUGGACUCGCGGCUUAUCAGCUUGUUGGUGGGGUAGUGGCUUACCAAGGCUUUGACGGGUAGCCGGCCUGAGAGGGUGACCGGCCACAUUGGGACUGAGAUACGGCCCAGACUCCUACGGGAGGCAGCAGUGGGGAAUAUUGCACAAUGGGCGGAAGCCUGAUGCAGCAACGCCGCGUGCGGGAUGACGGCCUUCGGGUUGUAAACCGCUUUCGCCUGUGACGAAGCGUGAGUGACGGUAAUGGGUAAAGAAGCACCGGCUAACUACGUG
rnacentral:rRNA from 1 species